UUACACCCAUAUCUCUGUUUUAUUGUUAUAUUCAGAUUCUUUGGAAGAGGAGAGAUUACAGCCAUCAGGAUCAUUUUCGAUAAAUAGAGAGUCACUAGAUUCAUUUAAGUUUGUAAAAAAAAAAAAAUCCAAAUUCAAUUUUAUCUGAGAUGAUAAAGAAAGUUGUUUCUUCGUUCCAAGGAUAUGGACAAGUAUACGCCGCAAGUGAAUCCAUUGUAGUUUAGGCAUUUAAAUUAUUUUAAGGCAUCAAUUUUAUUUAUUUUUUCUUCUAUGGGAAAUGUGAAAUGAAAAACAAACAAGAUUUGGGUGCAGAGGCAGAGGCAGGAGAGGCAUCAUGCAAGAUCGUUGAAACUGAGCAAUUUGAUUCUGAAGCAUCAUAUAUUUGGUGCAAGGAAUCGCUGAUGACAUUGGAAUGGCGGCACCGGAAAAGUCAGCAGGGCAUUGGCAUGGAACCGUGCAUGUUUCGUGGAUAAGCAGACUAAUUAUCAUAAUGCAGCGAGAUACUGGUAAAGAAUAGAGUGAGUCUAAAAAUAUCAGUCUCGGCGAUGUAAACCUCUAAUCUUUAACCUUGUGAGUGUAAUUGCAUUAACUCAAAGGCUUAGAGACCAUGAUAGAUUUUCAUGACUCCAUUGGAGUGAAUUGUUUGAAAGUCAAAGUGAAUCAUUUGAAAGCCUUUUGGUGGAAGGCAAUAAGAUUGAUGAAUGGUUGUU